UAUGGAAUCCAGAAUGUGUACGUGGGAAUCAAAUUAUAGUAGAAGAAGAGGAGAUCAACAGCAAGUAGUAACAACUAAUAUCUAACAGUCACAUACAUCAGCAAUAAUGAUAGUUUUGAAUCAAAAUCACUUCACAACAACCCAGGAAACUUAAAUAGAAACCCAGCACCAGCAGACAACCAAAGCAAACUUAUUGUACCCAAAAAACUACUCGAAAUCAAACAGAAAUACCUCUGAACCUUCGAAUCACCAGAACUAAACUUAAUAAUGCAAAACCAAUAGCUAAAAGUUGAAAUUCUUUUUCACUUUUAAUGACACGGUAUUUUUUUUGGUUUUACUGUUGUUUUUUGUUGUUUUUGGUGAUUUGAGAAGCUAGACCUAAAUUAGAAUUUGAAAAUCAAAUCUGAAACUCAGAUUUGCAGAAAGGGGUUUUUGGGAGGAAAUUUGGUGGCUGAAAAACAUCUUUCCUAUGGCAUGAGAAUGCCAUUUUAUAGGCACAAUGAGGGUGAGCAUCAGAUUUAUAUUUUUCCUUUUGGUCCCCCUCUUUUUUCACAAUAGUCCUCAAGUUAUUAAUUUGUUACUCAA
rnacentral:lncRNA from 1 species